rnacentral:rRNA from 1 species
UACGUAGGGUGCAGGCGUUAAUCGGAAUUACUGGGCGUAAAGCGCACGCAGGCGGUUCGUCAAGUUUGGAGUGACAGUUGUCGGCUCAACCGAUAAAGGACUUCAAAAACUGGUGAACUUGAGAGCGAGAGAGGAACAUGGAACUCCAGGUGUAGUAGUGAAAUGCGUAGAUAUCUGGAAGAACACCAAUGGCGAAGGCAAUGUUCUGGCUCGUUUCUGACGCUCAGGUGCGAAAGCCAGGGGAGCGAACGGG